rnacentral:tRNA from 1 species
ACUUAGAUAGCUUAUUUUAUUAAAGUAUAAUAUUGAAGAUAUUAGGAAAAUUAUUUAAAUUUUUAAGUA